GAAGGAUAUUUGUGAACUAGAUGUGGGUGAUCAUGAUUGUUAGUUUUUUGAAGGAGUGAAGAAAGUGGUGGGUGAGGGGAAGGAGACUUCCUUCUGGUGUGAGUCGUGGGUAGAGAGUGAGGUGUUGGAAGUUCGUUAUAGAUGACACGCUGAUCUUUCUUGCUGACCUGAUUCUCAUAUAUUUGUGUGAGAGAGGUGAUAGAGGGUGGUAUUGAAAGAAGGAUCUUUUGAGGUGGGAAAAAGAGAUGUUGCACAAUUUGGACGAAGAGGGUUGUAGGUAGGGGGCGGGCUUGGGGACAGUCAUGACUCUUGGAAAUGGUUAAAGGAUCCUCUUGGUGUGUAUAUGGUGGCAUCAACUUACAAAUAUAUAUGACCGUGGCACAUGUUGGGGAUUCUGUUGAGGCAGUUUGUUGGGAUACAAUUUGGAAUAAAAUUGUCCCAUUGAAAGUGGUUAAUUAUGUUUGUUUGGAAGAUUUUAAAGGAUAGGAUCCCGUCAAAACAAAAUUUGACUCGUAGAAGAUUUGUGGAUGAGGAGGAUGUGUGGUGUGUUGGAUCCCAAGAAGCUCAAGAAUCUACAAAGCAUCUCUUUAUGAAAUGUAAAGUCUAGUGGAAUCCAUUAAACUUCUUUCCUGGAAAUGACUCAAAGGGAGAAGGAAAUGAUUUGUUUAUUGUCUUUCUUCAUGGUUAUUUAAUCCCCUUUUCUUGUCUUGGAGGUGUGGGAUAAGUGGAGUGAGCUCGUGUUGAUGGGGGAGGAGGGGAUGGUGUGACAUUGUGGCUUUUGUGGGAUCAAAAUGCUGGAUGUUGAAGUGCAAAGGAAUUUCGUUCAUAGUAUUUACUAUGAGAGCAUGUUUCAUAUCCCUUGCUUCUUGCGUUCUUUGACUAAUAGUUUGGUGGGGGUGUUGUUGCUUCUUUGUGUGUGGAUGUUAUUUUUGUUUUAUCAUUUUGUUUGUAUUCAGUAUACUUGUGGAUCCUAUAGAGGUACACCUUGUGCUUCUUUAAGGGUUUCUCUUUAAUAAAUUUGAUUGCCUAGUAAAAAAAUAAAUUGAUCCUUAGUAAUAGGACUAAGGUUCCAUUUGAAUAAUUUUUUUGUGUAAGUACUGUAAAAAGGACAAAAAGAAAUAGAUUUUUCUAAACUAAG
rnacentral:lncRNA from 1 species